rnacentral:rRNA from 1 species
UACGGGGGGGGCAAGCGUUGUUCGGAAUUACGGGGCGGAAAGGGCUCGUAGGUGGCCAACUAAGUCAGACGUGAAAUCCCUCAGCUUAACUGGGGAACUGCGUCUGAUACUGGAUGGCUUGAGAUUGGGAGAGGGAUGCGGAAUUCCAGGUGUAGCGGUGAAAUGCGUAGAUAUCUGGAGGAACACCGGUGGCGAAGGCGGCAUCCUGGACCAACACUGACACUGAGGAGCGAAAGCCAGGGGAGCAAACGGG